UUUUUCCUGGCGGGAGAACGACUGCCAUAACCGAAUAGGGGAGCCGAAGGGAAACCGAGUCUUAACUGGGCGUUAAGUUUCAGGGUAUAGACCCGAAACCCGGUGAUCUAGCCAUGGGCAGGUUGAAGGUUGGGUAACACUAACUGGAGGACCGAUUACCGUAAAGCUGAAACCAGAAUAAUCUACCUACGCGAGACCAUGAUUUUUACACUCCGCC
rnacentral:rRNA from 1 species